AGGCUUGUGGCGCGCCCGCGGAGAGGCCGGGGCUCUGACGCCCGCUCUGUGGCUUCGGUGUUUGAACAGGCCACAGCCCAGGAGCGCUUACAUUCAGGAGCUCCGCGUAGCACCUGCCCAGCCAAACUCAGCCCUCCGUUAAGAUCCUGGUUCCAUGCCGCAGUAGGACAGCAGGCCCAAGUCUGCACAUCCCAGUGAUGCACCAUGCCAAUAGUGGAUAAGUUGAAGGAGGCCCUGAAACCCGGCCGCAAGGACUCGGCUGAUGAUGGAGAACUGGGGAAGCUUCUUGCCUCCUCUGCCAAGAAGGUCCUUUUACAGAAAAUCGAGUUCGAGCCAGCCAGCAAGAGCUUCUCCUACCAGCUGGAGGCCUUAAAGAGCAAAUAUGUGUUGCUCAACCCCAAAACAGAGGGAGCUAGUCGCCACAAGAGUGGAGAUGACCCACCGGCCAGGAGACAGGGUACAGAUGUGCAGUGUGCUGGCAGAGAGGCCCUCUCUCCGGGGUGACGAAGUGGAUGGACUUAAAUAUUGACUAAUUAGUAGGAA
rnacentral:sRNA from 1 species